UGCUCUGCUCAUGCGCAGCUCAAUAUUAAAUGAGCAUCGGCUAGAGCAAGACGCUAACUUUGGCUCUCUCCCUUACUAAUUCACAGAUAUGAGGAGAGGAUUUGACCAUGGCUCUUUGGACCAUUCCCAUCAACCCUCCAUGAAUUUGGCCAACCUGAGAGACAAGUUCAACUCAAGUUCAGUAGGAAAACAACACCUCUGCAGACUGCAAUAGAAAAAGCAAGUGAUGAUUGCUGUGAGAGCUCUAACACAGAUGCGGUAACACAUCAGAUGAAUCUUCUCACUCAGAUGAAUCUUACAGAUGCUGAGCACAGCUCUGACCUCAGAGGCAGCAGGACGCCAUAGCGAAUGAGGAUUCCCAGACCCCACAGGACAAAAUAGAAGAUAUCAGCCAUCUCAAACUCCGGCUCAGAGCGCAGACAGUUGGCAGAACCCCGAAGCUCCUGGAUCUCCUGCUGCAAAGAUG